AUUGAACGCUGGCGGUAUGCUUAAGACAUGCAAGUCGAACGGUAACAGACCUUCGGGUGCUGACGAGUGGCGGACGGGUGAGUAACACGUGGGAAUCUACCUUGUAGUGGGGGAUAAGCCAGGGAAACUUGGACUAAUACCGCAUACGCCCUAAGGGGAAAGGAGCAAUUCGCUAUAAGAUGAGCCCGCGUCUGAUUAGCUAGUUGGUGAGGUAAAGGCUCACCAAGGCGACGAUCAGUAGCUGGUCUGAGAGGAUGGCCAGCCACAUUGGGACUGAGACACGGCCCAGACUCCUACGGGAGGCAGCAGUCGGGAAUAUUGGACAAUGGGGGCGAACCCUCGAUCCAGCAAUACCGCGUGUGUGAAGAAGGCCUGCGGGUUGUAAAGCACUUUUAGUAGGGAAGAUAAUGACGUUACCUACAGAAAAGACACCGGCUAACUCCGUGCCAG
rnacentral:rRNA from 1 species